rnacentral:rRNA from 1 species
UACGUAGGGUGCAAGCGUUAAUCGGAAUUACUGGGCGUAAAGCGUGCGCAGGCGGUUGUGUAAGACAGAUGUGAAAUCCCCCGGGCUCAACCUGGGAACUGCAUUUGUGACUGCACAGCUGGAGUGCGGCAGAGGGGGAUGGAAUUCCGCGUGUAGCAGUGAAAUGCGUAGAUAUGCGGAGGAACACCGAUGGCGAAGGCAAUCCCCUGGGCCUGCACUGACGCUCAUGCACGAAGCGUGGGGAGCAAACAGG